rnacentral:ncRNA from 1 species
CAAUAUGAGAGUUUGAUCCUGGCUCAGAACGAACGCUGGCGGCAGGCUUAACACAUGCAAGUCGAGCGCACAGUUUACUGUGAGCGGCAGACGGGUGAGUAACGCGUGGGAAUCUACCUUGAGCUACGGGAUAACAGAGAGAAAUUUCUGCUAAUACCGUAUGUGGCCUAUGGGCGAAAGAUUUAUCGGCUUGAGAUGAGCCCGCGUUGGAUUAGCUGGUUGGUGGGGUAAAGGCCUACCAAGGCGACGAUCCAUAGCUGGUCUGAGAGGAUGAUCAGCCACACUGGGACUGAGACACGGCCCAGACUCCUACGGGAGGCAGCAGUGGGGAAUAUUGGACAAUGGGCGGAAGCCUGAUCCAGCCAUGCCGCGUGAGUGAAGAAGGCCUUAGGGUUGUAAAGCUCUUUCACCGGUGAAGAUAAUGACGGUAGCCGGAGAAGAAGCCCCGGCUAACUUCGUGCCAGCAGCCGCGGUAAUACGAAGGGGGCUAGCGUUGUUCGGAUUUACUGGGCGUAAAGCGCGCGUAGGCGGAUAGAUAAGUCAGAGGUGAAAUCCCGGGGCUCAACCCCGGCAUUGCCUUUGAUACUGUUUAUCUUGAGUGCAGAAGAGGUAAGUGGAAUUCCGAGUGUAGAGGUGAAAUUCGUAGAUAUUCGGAGGAACACCAGUGGCGAAGGCGGCUUACUGGUCUGCAACUGACGCUGAGGCGCGAAAGCUCGCUGUGCAAAG